UUCCCCAGGUGAGGCUCGAACUCACAGCCUCGGCAUUUCUCGCAGGCACUGCCUUAUAAGUACCGCGCGCUAACCAAUUGCGCCACUGGGGA
rnacentral:tRNA from 13 species